CUGAGGCUCAGCCGGCACAAGCCGGAGUCCUCUGGGAAGAGGGAGCCUCAACUGAGAAGAUGUUUCCAUCAGGUCGGCCUGAGGGCAUGUCUGUGGGGCAUUUUACUGAUCAACAGAUGCAAGACUGCUCAGCUCACUGUGGGUAGGGUGUCCCGAGUUGACUAAGGAAGCUGGCUGAGGAAGGCAUGAGGAGCUAGCCAGUCAACAGCUUUCCCGGUGCCUCUCCAGGACUCUGCUUCUGUUCUAGUCCCUGAUUCCUCCAGUGAUGGACUCUGCCAAGAUGAAACCAAGCCUUUCCUCCUCCACUUGCUUUUGGUCGUGGUGUCUUAUCACAGCGAUAGAAACCUACCCAAGACGCCCAGCUUCUAACAGGCUCUUGGAAGCAGGACUGAAGAGGUGAGCUCAACUACAGACCGACAAGCGAGGGACCCCAAUCACCCUAACCAUGCUCUAGCUGCCAUGCCUGCUGCCUGCAGCCAUGCUCUCUCCACCAUUAAGAACUCUAACCCUCUGACGCGAUGAGACCAAAGACACCCCUCCUUCUAUAGUGAGUGAAAACUUUCAGUGGCUGAAAAAAAAAAUCCACAAGCUCUAUUCAGCAUUCAAGAACGACCUCAAUCUCUCUUUAGUUUUAUACGACUGAUGAUGAGAUCAACGUGGUGAGACUUUCAUAUUCAGAAAUAGAACCGGAGACACUAGCAAAGCAAGCUUCCCAGAGCCCUCUCACCUGUAUCCCCAGUCACCUCUCUGCACCUCACCAAACAUUUAUUUUAUCCAGAAAACAACUCACCUCUCCCUUUCUCCGUAUUCUCCGUAUUCACACAUAUCUUGCUUGUGAGUUUUCACAGCUGCUUUUAGAUAAUGGAUCUCUGCUCUACUUAAGAGUUUAUAUAAUUUUAUCAUUCAAUAAAUGAGGACCCAGCCAUCCCCA